AGUGAACGCUGGCGGUAGGCCUAACACAUGCAAGUCGAACGGCAGCACAGUAAGAGCUUGCUCUUACGGGUGGCGAGUGGCGGACGGGUGAGGAAUACAUCGGAAUCUACUUUUUCGUGGGGGAUAACGUAGGGAAACUUACGCUAAUACCGCAUACGACCUACGGGUGAAAGCAGGGGAUCUUCGGACCUUGCGCGAUUGAAUGAGCCGAUGUCGGAUUAGCUAGUUGGCGGGGUAAAGGCCCACCAAGGCGACGAUCCGUAGCUGGUCUGAGAGGAUGAUCAGCCACACUGGAACUGAGACACGGUUCAGACUCCUACGGGAGGCAGCAGUGGGGAAUAUUGGACAAUGGGCGCAAGCCUGAUCCAGCCAUACCGCGUGGGUGAAGAAGGCCUUCGGGUUGUAAAGCCCUUUUGUUGGGGAAGAAAAGCAGCAGGUUAAUACCCCGCUGUUCUGACGGUACCCAAAGAAUAAGCACCGGCUAACUUCGUU
rnacentral:rRNA from 1 species